UACGUAGGGGGCGAGCGUUGUCCGGAAUCAUUGGGCGUAAAGCGCGUGUAGGCGGCCCGGUAAGUCCGCUGUGAAAGUCCAGGGCUCAACCCUGGGAUGCCGGUGGAUACUGUCGGGCUAGAGUCCGGAAGAGGAGUGUGGAAUUCCUGGUGUAGCGGUGAAAUGCGCAGAUAUCAGGAGGAACACCAAUGGCGAAGGCAGCACUCUGGGACGUGACUGACGCUGAGACGCGAA
rnacentral:rRNA from 1 species